rnacentral:miRNA from 14 species
CGAGUUAAGGCUAAUAGUCCUU